AGUGAACGCUGGCGGUAGGCCUAACACAUGCAAGUCGAACGGCAGCACAGUAAGAGCUUGCUCUUACGGGUGGCGAGUGGCGGACGGGUGAGGAAUACAUCGGAAUCUACUUUUUCGUGGGGGUUAACGUAGGGAAACUUACGCUAAUACCGCAUACGACCUACGGGUGAAAGCAGGGGAUCUUCGGACCUUGCGCGAUUGAAUGAGCCGAUGUCGGAUUAGCUAGUUGGCUGGGUAAUGGCCCACCAAGGCGACGAUUCGUAGCUGGUCUGAGAGGCUGAUAGGCCACACUGGAACGGGGACAGGGUCCAGGCGCCUACGGGAGGCAGCAGUGGGGAAUAUUGGACAAUGGGCGGGAGCCUGAUCCAGCCAUACCGCGUGGGUGAAGAAGGCCUUCGGGUUGUAAAGCCCUUUUGUUGGGAAAGAAAAGCAGCAGGUUAAUACCCCGCUGUUCUGACGGUACCCAAAGAAUAAGCACCGGCUAACUUCGUG
rnacentral:rRNA from 1 species